UCACUCUCUCCCACACGCACUAGCACACACAACAUUUGCACACACUUUUCCUCUUGCUAAGGGUUUGCAAUCUCUCUCUCUGUAAAUUCCUCUCUUCGAUCUCUGAAUCAAUCCCUUUCUAGGGUUUGCUUUCCGGCGCUGCACAGCUACCGAUUUUGAAUCAAUUUUGCGUUUGUUUUGUUGCUGAUUUUGAAUUGGUUGAUAAGAUCCGCGAGCGAGGGAAAUUCGGGCUCCUUUUCUUGCUGGUUUUCGGACUGUGUUGCCUCCUGUUUGAUGGUUGAAGAAGCGCGGAAGGAUCUGAGGGUUGCGAGCUGUAUUGUGAUUUCUGAGGAUUUUAUUUUGAGGAAAUACAAAUAGAGAUGGAUUUGGAUUUCAAUGGCGAUGUCACGAGCCUCGAUGCUGAACUGCUGCAGCUUCAGGAGGUGUCGCCGCUGGCUAUUAAAGCCAACCCGUAUGUUGCCGAGAAGCUGUUUGAUCAGUGGCUUUCGCUUCCGGAAACCAAUUCCUUGGUCAAAUCGUUGCUCAGUAAUGCCAAGGGAGGUGGCCCCUUGAAUGCUGCUGGAACAGGUAGCACAAAUACUGCAGCUAGCAAUACGCUGCCUUCAAUGUUUCCUGCAGGUAGUACGCCACCACUUUCACCAAGGAGUUCUUCAGGUUCUCCUCGAAUCUUGAAACACAGGGCAGGCCCUUCCAGUUUUCCCUCUCCCUUGAAAUUAGUGAAUGAACCCGUGAAAGAACUUAUACCUCAGUUCUAUUUCCAAAAUGGGCGCCCACCACCUAAUGAAUUGAAAGAGCGAUGCUUGUUUAGAAUUAACCAAUUUUUUUAUGGUCACGUGGAUGGACUGCAGAUGCAUGAAUUUAAACCAGUAACGAAGGAACUUUGCAAGCUCCCGUCUUUCUUUUCUGCUGUACUGUUUAGAAAGAUCGACACCGAGGGAACUGGAAUUGUGACCAGGGAUGCGUUUGUCGAUUAUUGGAUUAAUAAAAACAUGUUGUCCAAGGAUCUAGCAACACAGUUAUACACAAUCUUGAAGCAGCCAGAGCACAGACACUUGGUGCAGGAUGACUUUAAACCCGUUCUUCGAGAACUUUUGACCACUCAUCCUGGGUUGGAAUUCCUACAGAGUACACCUGAAUUUCAAGAAAGAUAUGCUGAAACUGUAAUAUACAGAAUAUUUUACUAUGUGAAUAGAGCUGGUAAUAGUCGUCUUACACUGAAGGAGCUGAGACGCUCAAACUUGAUUGCUGCAAUGCAGCAUGCAGAUGAGGAAGAGGAUAUUAACAAAGUCUUGAGGUACUUCUCCUAUGAGCAUUUCUAUGUGAUAUACUGCAAGUUCUGGGAGCUGGACUCAGAUCAUGAUUUUUUGAUUGACAAAGAAAACCUCAUCAGAUAUGGUAACCAUGCACUUACCUACAGGAUUGUUGAUAGGAUAUUUUCUCAGGUUCCGAGAAAGUUCACCAGUAAGGUUGAAGGAAAGAUGGGAUAUGAAGAUUUCGUCUACUUCAUAUUGUCAGAGGAGGAUAAAUCAUCAGAACCUAGUCUUGAGUAUUGGUUCAAGUGCAUAGAUUUGGAUGGUAAUGGCAUUAUAACGAGGAAUGAAAUGCAAUUCUUUUAUGAGGAGCAGUUGCAUAGAAUGGAAUGCAUGGCCCAAGAGCCUGUACUUUUUGAAGAUAUACUAUGUCAAAUUGUUGACAUGGUUCAUCCAGAGGAAGAGAGCUAUUUUACGUUGCGGGAUAUAAAAGGAAGCAGACUUUCUGGCAGUGUUUUCAAUAUCCUGUUUAACCUUAAUAAGUUCAUGGCUUUCGAGACUCGUGAUCCAUUUCUAAUUCGCCAGGAGCGUGAGAACCCUAAUUUGACGGAGUGGGAUCGCUUUGCUCACCGAGAAUACAUUAGGCUCUCGAUGGAGGAAGAUGCAGAAGAUGCCUCUAAUGGAAGUGGAGAUGUUUGGGAUGAACCGUUCGAGGCUCCUUUUUGAAUUCUCUUUGACUGAAAAGGGAAUUGUGACAAAAUUUUCGUGGAUGAAAGGAGUACUAAUUGUUGGACAAUACGAUAGGAUUGGAGUCCUCUGAAUUCCUCAUAUAUAGCUGGCUACGGAGCAUUACAAGCUGUAGAAAGGGAUUCUCACUCGCAACGCUCUGCUAGUAUGUUUUUGAAGACUCGUUUUAGAAAUUUUGAGCUCACCAUGAGUUAGAAACGUUGCCAUGGUGCACCGGGGGAAAGGUUGCACAUUUGUUGAUUUGAUACUAACAAGCAAAUAGAUUAUGUUAGUUCACAGCCUUUUUAGCACUUGGUUCUUUUGGCAGUAUCAAAUUGCUUCUUUUUUUGCUUGUUGCUGUUUCUUGAUUUCCCAAACUCUCUAGUUGUUGUUUUCCCCCUUUCUUGAAUAAUUAGUUCUCUUUGUGUAAACAGCAGUUGGAUGUAAAGAUACAAUUCUCCAUUUCCAACCAUAUGUCAGAAUUUGAUUAUGUUUUCGAUACCAA